CCGGGCAGCAGGAGGAAAGAACUGGAACCCCAGGGCUCAAGAGACUGGUCAGGCACCAAGUCGCCUGACGCUCCCUGCCUCAGUGGUGACAGUGCCUGCGGUGACCCCGCCAGCACCUACCAUCCGCCCGAAGGCUGUGGCUGUGCAGACUGCAGGAGAUCUUUGCAAGUCUGUUACUCAGAUGACAAAGUAGUCCUAUGUCCUGAAGAAAAUGCUGGGACCAUGAAUACAAUGGCAAGUGAAUAAGAAGAAUAACAUGCAGAGUUUCUUUGAGGGUCCAACAAGUGGUUUGGCUGGGGCCUUUCCUUCGCUCUCCGCUUCUCUGGACCAUACUCCUCCAUGGCAGAAGGGGUUUCACUUGUCUCUUGGCCACACUUUUAAUCACAGGAACAAUGCCCAGUUGCUCUCAGCACGGCAGGCCUUGGAGUGUUCAGAGCAGAUUUGGGUGUCUGCGUGAAAACCGCUGCCUGGAAGAGGUCAGUGUGAGGGGUGAGACUGGGCCAGGAGAACCCCAGCUGCUCUCGUUUUCAUGGUCACUUUCACGGAAACCUCCUUCCUUCAAGGUCCAUCACUUUGGUUAUCAAAUUAUUCCUAAUGACCACCCAGGGCCAAAUGCAUUGCAGGGCACACUUUAAGACACUGGGAAGUAAGAAUAAGCAUUCUGGCUGGUUGUGCAAUAAGCAGAAUGGAAGCCCAGUGCAGUGGCUGGCACGAGCCAUCGUGACCGUCUUAGGAGAUGCCAAGGAAUCAGCCUAUUGACUGUCUGGGCGCAGUCACAAGGAAACCAAACUCUGCCAUUCUCAGGAAGAUGAGGUUGCAGGACCCUCUGUAAAUCAUCUGUUAUCUCUAGUCUUGAUGUUUUGGUUUGUUAAAUACACGGUUUAUUCUACAUCUGCGCUUAUUUUUAUUGAUAUGUCUAUCUUAUCAGUCCAGUCAAUCAGUCAAUCAACAUUAUCUUACAUCAGCAAAAUCUUAAAACAAAUUUCAUGCUUGUGCUCUUAAAAUCCAGAUUUAAAUUUACUAGCUGAGCAUCAAUUCUUCCUAACAAACACCACUGAUACAUUAUUUUCUCCAAGAAAAGGGAUUCCCAAGUUUUUCUUUCAUUCACUCGUUUAAAAGGAUGAUGUCUUAACUACGAAAACUUCCAUGAUUAUUUUUUGGCGCGAUUCUUCUACUCUGUCCAAAAUAGUUUUGGAAUGUUUAUCACUCUACUCAGCUAAUAAAUAAUAAAAGAAAAAAAGAAAAAAGAAGUGAUUAUAGAUUGCUUCACGUUUCAGCCUGUUGCAUGAAUUCCUGAAAUAUUUAACUUCUUUUCGAACAAAAGAUAAAUUCAGAUUUGGAAAUUAAUUUCACUACCCCGGUUGAUUUACCAGACACUUGAACUUCUAAGAUUCAUUUUAUGCAAUGCCCUAAUUUCUAUAGUCCCCAAGAAAAGGUAAACCCAAAUGAACACAGUACACCACAAUGCAUGCUCCAGAGGCAUUUUGCAAGGGAUACCUUAAAAUUCCUUCCUUCCUUCUGCUUGGAAAUGUCUCUCGCUACAUCAUCAGCUUUCUCCAGGGGCAUGAAUGAACGCUACUGGAGGUUCUGGUGUUCUUUUUUUUUUCUUUGCUCACAGAUAAAAACUUCAGCGUAACCACGUGUGUGUAAAAUGUGUAGCUUGCCUUCCAUCCAUGUUGCUGCAGCCCAUUUUCUACACACUGAUCAGUUUAUUCAGAUCAACUCCAUGCUGCAAAUCCCUUUCAGCGACCAUGUGAACUGGCUCCAGUGUUCGCUUCAACCUUAUUGAGCCUGAACCGCCUUUCCUUGUUUACACUGGAACUGGAGGUCUUCCUGGGUCUCCUUCAUGCAAGCUGACAAAUGUUCUUUCAUGCCAUUGGCAGCUGCUUCAUUACACAGUAUUGACUAAGCUGAAGAAGCACUGAGCUCCUUCUUAACACCUGAAACAUUUCAUCCUUCACUGUCCCCUUAAAGAUCUCAUUUCAAAAUACGUGUACUUUAUAGUGGUGAGCCGAGGAGUGCUAAGGUCCCCAGGGCAGGUAAGUUGUCUGAGGACAGGGGCUUUUGUCUGUGUUUCGGGUUAUUUUUGCAUGGUUGGCCAGGGUCUGUCUGGGACAAACUAGGUCCUUGAAUAUUUUUGAAAGGAACAAAUGAAGGCUUUCUUUCCUUUUAUUGUUCACUCUAAUUUCAAGCAUAUUCCUAAACCUGUUUUUGCUUUGUAGAGACCAUAGAUUCCCAUUUUAAACGAGGGGUUGGUAAAAUUUUCUAUGAAAUGUUGGAGAGAAAAUAUUUCAAGCUUGUGGGCUCUGAAGUCACCCCACUUCUCUGCUGCUGUUGCACAAGUUAAACAUCUAUGGCAUGAGUAUGCUGGGUGGCAAGGAAAAGCUAUUGACAGAAA